rnacentral:rRNA from 1 species
UACAGGGGGUGCAAACGUUGCUCGGAAUCAUUGGGCGUAAAGCGCACGUAGGCGGUUACUUAAGUCGGAUGUGAAAGCCCUUGGCUCAACCGAGGAAGUGCAUCCGAAACUGAGUAGCUUGAGUACUAAAGAGGGUCGCGGAAUUCCCGGUGUAGAGGUGAAAUUCGUAGAUAUCGGGAGGAACACCGGUGGCGAAGGCGGCGACCUGGGUAGAGACUGACGCUGAGGUGCGAAAGCGUGGGGAGCAAACAGG